CAGAGGAGUAGAGCACAGAGGGCAGACACACUGCCUGACUGCACCCACAGACUCCUUUCAUUCAGCCUCCGUUAUGCAACAUGAGGUGCAUGUUCAGUUCACUCCCAUGCACAAGCAGAUCAGACUUAUGUAGGCUUUUAUCUUGAAAUAUCAUCUGUGAAUGUGUGUCAGUGCAGGUCUUCAGUCAAGCUGGAAAGAAAAAUAAUCAUUUUCUCUUUAACCAAAUCCAAACAAAGCUCCAGAGACUGAAAUCCACUUCUCACGCACUGCUUUCACCACACAGCUAGGGAAUACUUUCACCCUGUUAUUGCACUGAGCAGAACUUCUACAAAUAGAAGUUAUCUUUGUUUUCAUACUUUGGAGCUUGUUUAAGAGAAGACGGCAAAACAAUGUUAUCUCGUCACCUAAAUUGACCCUGUUGGACUUUUUAUGUAGGCUAACUAGGAUAAAACACAGCUUUCUGUUUCUUUCAAGCUCCUGGUGGUGAAGGGGGUCUUAACAGGAUGUAAAUGAUGUCAAAACAACACUUGUGUUGUCAGUCAGUGUGUUUUAAAUUCACAAUCAAGUCAAGCUCGGCUAGGCAGUUUAACUGGACUACUGUCCAGUGAGUGGCAACAUGCCUCCAUUCAGCUCGUUACUGUAGCAUCCUCUCCUGCUUAUUUAUUGCAUAUCAAAACAAUCAACAAUAUAUGACUCGUGACCCUCAGUCACAUGAUACAAGCCUAAUCACUCCACUAUCUUGCCUGGGGGCUUGUGGGAUAAAAACCUGGAUAAAAAUGGGGUUAAAAAAAUGACCCUUUAUGCAGCUGUCUCUCUUGAUAGAGUUCAGAGCUGAACAGUGAAACACUACAGGGUUUAUAUUUGUCUUAGUGUUGCUUUGAAAAAUGACCUCUGAUUGGAUUUUAUAUGGUGAUACUCUUAACACUUUCCAUCUUUGUGUUUUCUUUCUUACUAAUACUGGUGGAUGUGACAUGUAAUACAAAAAAGCUCUUUGAGUCUCCUGUAGGCUAGGAAAAAGUGCUUCUGUAAAUACAUUGCAUUCCUGUAUAUAUUUGUGACCCGAAGCCCAAUUUCUGUUUUUUCACAAACAGAGUCUUUCUGCUGAGAUUUGGCUGUAAUCUGAGAUGGUCCUACAGAACAGAGCACCCUUCUGUACACUAAUGUCAACACGUGGCCUUUAGGGUUUACAGCAUACGUGCAAGCAUAUUCAAAACUUUUAAGUUGAUGGGUUUCAGAGCCAAAAUAUUCCCACAUACAGGUUGUGUUUGCAUUUCUAUCCAUGAAUGUUCCAGACAGUCAAAGCUUUCCAAGAAGAGAGAUGAAACAAAAAGGCCUGUGAAAUAGAGCCCACUUCAUUUCACCCCCACCUCAUUUUCUCUUUCUAGUAAGGGAGACCUUUCGGCUUAUGUAAGAAGUCCCCCUGGGUGUGCUCCCACUCUCGCGGUCCCGCCUCCCACCAGCCAAUCAGGGUGCACCCUUUGACGGCCUGGGCCUCAGUGUUUUGUUCGUCAUCCUGCAACAAGAUUCACAUGGUGUGCAGCGGGCAGCUUACGUUGUACCAGGGCAGAAAGUAAGGGACAAGACAUAAAGAGGGCCGGGGGAGUGGGCGGCACAAGGUUAGGGGGGCUGGGCAGCGCUCCAAAAACGCCAUAACACUCUGUCUUGCAGCUGUUGUUCCACAGGGAGUCCUGUUGCCAUGGAAAUAAGGCCCCUGACCCCAACACUACCACCCUCCUC